UCUAAAUGAUAUUAUUUUACUUGUUUCUAUUUUUUACUAUUUUUCAAAGAAAUAUUUUAUUCUUGCUCUUGUAAAGCAUAUUUUAUUAGCUCACUACCUGAUAGGACCAUACCAUGAACUAAUAAUUAGGCACAAUAAUGUGAUAAAUUAUAGUGCAUUCUUAAUAUUUUCUCAUCAACUAAAUUGUUAUAGAAGUGCAGAACAUCUUUUCAGCUGGUUUCUACCCAUCUUAGUUCUCAAAAAUAAAAGAAAAAAAAAUAAAGUAAUAUGUUUCAAAUUGUGUAGCUACAAAAUUCAUGAAUGAAGGUUAAUUUGUAUGGAUGAUAAAAAAUUAUGCAAUAAAUAGUGCAAAUGUAGAAUGUGAUAUAUAUGUUUGUGAGACAUUAAUUGGGAUUGAUAUUUUCAAUUGCAUUCCUUAUAUUUAAAUGUAAAACUCAUAUUUGUUAAAACCUAUAGGUUGUAGAGUUAAAGCUAUAUGGAUUCUGAGGAGAUUUAAUGGCUCUAUCCGAAAAAAAAUAUUGAAAAAACUUAUUAAUUUUGAAUUCUUAGUUCUUGAGCCCCACGGUCACCAUGCUCUAAUUCUAUUUCUUAUGAAAAAUUAUAAAAGUAGACUUCUCCUCAUUUCUUGCUCCUUUUGUCUGUAGAAAGGGCCAUGAGUCUUUCAUGGACUAAAAUUUUGUAUAUUCAAAUUUAAUAAGAUUUAUAAAAGCACAAUCAUAUUCACUCCAUAUGUUAGAAUCAAUGUUUUGCACCUCUAUCUUGAGACACCUGCCGGU
rnacentral:lncRNA from 1 species